rnacentral:rRNA from 1 species
ACGGGAGGCAGCUGUGGCGAAUAUUGGACAAUGGGCGAUAGCCUGAUCCAGCCAUGCCGCGUGUGUGAAGAAGGUCUUCGGAUUGUAAAGCACUUUAAGUUGGGAGGAAGGGCAGUAAGUUAAUACCUUGCUGUUAUGACGUUACCGACAGAAUAAGCACCGGCUAACUCUGUGCCAGCAGCCGCGGUAAUAC